CUGUGCAGGAUGGAGAAGCAGGGCACGUGCAUUUCUAUCUAACUUACACCAUCUCUUUCUCUCCCUCUCUCUCUCUCUCUCUCUCUCUCUCGCGCGCGCUCGCUCGCUAGAGCGUGCACGCGCAAGGUUACUAUGCUAGCUAGUUAUUCAUGUGCCCAUCUUCUCCAUCAUGCCCAC
rnacentral:pre_miRNA from 1 species